rnacentral:rRNA from 1 species
GACGAACGCUGGCGGCGUGCUUAACACAUGCAAGUCGAACGAAGAGCGAUGGAAGCUUGCUUCUAUCAAUCUUAGUGGCGAACGGGUGAGUAACGCGUAAUCAACCUGUCCUUCAGAGGGGGACAACAGUUGGAAACGACUGCUAAUACCGCAUACGAUUUAAACUCGGCAUCGAGGAUAGAUGAAAGGUGGCCUCUACAUGUAAGCUAGCACUGAAGGAGGGGAAUGCGUCUGAUUAGCUAGUUGGUGGGGUAACGGCCUACCCAAGCGAUGAUCAGUAGCCGGUCUGAGAGGAUGGACGGCCCCAUUGGGACUGGGACACGGCCCAGACUCCUACGGGAGGCAGCAGUGGGGAAUCUUCCGCAAUGGACGGAAGUCUGACGGGGCAACGCCGCGUGAGUGAUGACGGCCUUCGGGUUGUAAAGCUCUGUUAAUCGGGACGAAAGGCCUUCUUGCGAAUAGUGGGAAGGAUUGACGGUACCGGAAUAGAAAGCCACGGCUAACUACGUG